GUGCCAGCAGCCGCGGUAAUACAGAGGGUGCAAGCGUUAAUCGGAUUUACUGGGCGUAAAGCGCGCGUAGGUGGCCAAUUAAGUCAAAUGUGAAAUCCCCGAGCUUAACUUGGGAAUUGCAUUCGAUACUGGUUGGCUAGAGUAUGGGAGAGGAUGGUAGAAUUCCAGGUGUAGCGGUGAAAUGCGUAGAGAUCUGGAGGAAUACCGAUGGCGAAGGCAGCCAUCUGGCCUAAUACUGACACUGAGGUGCGAAAGCAUGGGGAGCAAACAGGAUUAGAUACCCUGGUAGUCCAUGCCGUAAACGAUGUCUACUAGCCGUUGGGGCCUUUGAGGCUUUAGUGGCGCAGCUAACGCGAUAAGUAGACCGCCUGGGGAGUACGGUCGCAAGACUAAAACUCAAAUGAAUUGACGGGGGCCCGCACAAGCGGU
rnacentral:rRNA from 1 species